rnacentral:lncRNA from 1 species
GGACCGGGGAGCCACCGAAAAUAAAUCGGCCUUUUUUGAAAAGUUGACCUUGUUGGGGAAGUAUCAACUAUGGAAACUUUGCUUGGCGAGGCUCUGCGAGGAGAGUCUGUGAGGAAAGCACUUCCUGGAGAAAUGUUGUAGGAAUCGACCUUUAUUGGGGAUAUGAACUUGCUAAUCGUCCUCAGGCAGGGGAUUAAAA